GACCAACCAAAGUUGGUCGCCUUUAGGUUGGCGCCAAAUUUUUGGGACCAACCAAGUUGGUCGCCCUUAGGUUGGCGCCAAAUUUUUGGGACCAACCAAGUUGGUCGCCCUUAGGUUGGCGCCAAAUUUUUGGGACCAACCAAGUUGGUCGCCCAUAUAUUAACACCAAAAAUUUGGUCAGAUUUAGAUUUAUUGAGCGACCAACCAAGUUGGUCACUUUCAAGCGACUAACUUAAAAAGUUGGUCGCUUAUAGUCACUAGCGACGGGGUUUCUUGCGACUAACGUUGCGACCAACUUUUUGGUCGCUUUUUUCUAUAAGCGACCAACUUAUGCCUUUUUGCGACCAACUUGGUUGGUCGAAAAAAAGCCUUUUUCUUGUAGUGU
rnacentral:lncRNA from 1 species